GGACUACCGGGGUUUCUAAUCCUGUUUGAUCCCCAUGCUUUCGGGUCUCAGCGUCAAUGUUGGGCCAGUUAGCCGCCUUCGCCACCGGUGUUCCUCCAGAUAUCUACGUAUUUCACCACUACACCUGGAAUUCCACUAACCUCUCCCACAUUCAAGCUCUGCAGUAUCAAAAGCACUUCCCAAGUUAAGCUCGGGGCUUUCACUCCUGACUUAUAGAGCCGCCUACACCCGCUUUACGCCCAAUGAUUCCGAACAACGCUUGGACCCCUCGUCUUACCGCGGCUGCUGGCAC
rnacentral:rRNA from 1 species